GCCGGGUGCGGUGGCUCACACCUGUAAUCCCAGCACUUUGGGAGGCUGAGGCGGGUGGAUCACCUGAGGUCAGGAGUUCGAGACCAGCCUGACCAACAUGGUGAAAUCCUGUCUCUA
rnacentral:SRP_RNA from 1 species